rnacentral:rRNA from 1 species
AACGAACGCUGGCGGCAUGCCUAACACAUGCAAGUCGAACGAUGCCUUCGGGCAUAGUGGCGCACGGGUGCGUAACGCGUGGGAAUCUGCCGUUGGCUUCGGAAUAACAGUUAGAAAUGACUGCUAAUACCGGAUGAUGUCCCCCUGAGAGAUCUUGGGCACCAAAGAUUUAUCGGCCAGGGAUGAGCCCGCGUAGGAUUAGGUAGUUGGUGGGGUAAAGGCCUACCAAGCCGACGAUCCUUAGCUGGUCUGAGAGGAUGAUCAGCCACACUGGGACUGAGACACGGCCCAGACUCCUACGGGAGGCAGCAGUGGGGAAUAUUGGAAAAUGGGGGGAAUCCUGAUCCAGCAAUGCCGCGUGAGUGAUGAAGGCCUUAGGGUUGUAAAGCUCUUUUACCAGGGAUGAUAAUGACAGUACCUGGAGAAUAAGCUCCGGCUAACUCCGUG